rnacentral:rRNA from 1 species
CGGACGGGUGAGUAAUGCCUAGGAAUCUGCCUGGUAGUGGGGGACAACGUUUCGAAAGGAACGCUAAUACCGCAUACGUCCUACGGGAGAAAGCAGGGGACCUUCGGGCCUUGCGCUAUCAGAUGAGCCUAGGUCGGAUUAGCUAGUUGGUGAGGUAAUGGCUCACCAAGGCGACGAUCCGUAACUGGUCUGAGAGGAUGAUCAGUCACACUGGAACUGAGACACGGUCCAGACUCCUAUGGGAGGCAGCAGCG